AGUGAACGCUGGCGGCAGGCCUAACACAUGCAAGUCGAACGGCAGCACAGUGGAGCUUGCUCCAUGGGUGGCGAGUGGCGGACGGGUGAGGAAUACAUCGGAAUCUGCCCAGUCGUGGGGGAUAACAUAGGGAAACUUAUGCUAAUACCACAUACGACCUACGGGUGAAAGCGGGGGAUCGCAAGACCUCGCGCGAUUGGAUGAGCCGAUGUCCGAUUAGCUAGUUGGCGGGGUAAUGGCCCACCAAGGCGACGAUAGGUAGCUGGUCUGAGAGGAUGAUCAGCCACACUGGAACUGAGACACGGUCCAGACUCCUACGGGAGGCAGCAGUGGGGAAUAUUGGACAAUGGGCGCAAGCCUGAUCCAGCCAUGCCGCGUGGGUGAAGAAGGCCUUCGGGUUGUAAAGCCCUUUUGUCCGGGAAGAAACGCCUCGGAUUAAUACUCUGGGGUAAUGACGGUACCGGAAGAAUAAGCACCGGCUAACUUCGUGCCAGCCGCCGCAGUAA
rnacentral:rRNA from 1 species